CGGAAGUGGCCUGUCUGGCGCUGAGGCUGCUGGGAGAUGCAGUUCUGUGUACUUUUCUACGUCGGCGAGGCUGUCCUUUCUACCUCCGCGGGGCUGGCGAUUAAUCUCUUCCUCUCCUGCUCUGCUUUUUCACAUUCGCCCGGGACCCUCAGAUCUUUCGGCCUCCCUGUGAACAAACCACGCAUGUCACCUUCUGCUGGAUUCUGGUGUUUUCUACUUUCUACAGGGCACAGGAAUGAUGAGCCCCUGUGUUCAGAAGAGGACAGAGUGUAUUAGCCAUGCCGAAUGGCCUGCCCAAGACGGGGCAGCUGCCAGAACCCGGCCUGAGGUCUCCUGACCCUCAGUCCCCUCUUCAGUCCCCACACGCCUAGAGCACCCACUUGCCAGGCUCCACUCAGUGUCACCUCCCAGGAAGCCCUGCUCCAGGUGUUCCAGAACCUGACUCCCACCUGUCCCAGGCUUUGUCCGUGUCUGUCUCCCCUGCCAGCUUCCAGGCCACCCACCUGGAGUCGUCAAGAACCCAGUGCCUGCAGUCAACCUGCCUUCCCAGCGUGCCCUGUUCCUAUGCCUUGGGCCUGGCCCCAUGUCAGCUUUCACCUGGAAUUCUGCAAAGCCUCCUUGAGGUCUCCAAGCCUCAAUGCUCGACCUCUGCAGUCUCUUCUUUGCUGCAUCGAACGAGCAGAAUUGUAAACCUCAGUUCCGUUUCACUCCUCCCCUGCCUGAGACCCUUCGUGGUUCCCCAGGGUCCUCAGGACAAAGCCCGAGCCCCUUGGCCUGGCGAUCAGUGCCCUGUGCUCACCUCUCCAGCUCCAGCUCAGAUAGCUCUGCCCGCACAAGCUGGCUUUGCAGCAGGGGCCACCUUCCUCCCCUUCAGCCUCCUCCUCCCGAGGAGCCCUUGGGAUGCCACCUCCCAGGAGGCUCUCCCCCCCCCCGCCCCCGUCUCUACACCUGUCAUGAGCAGUUAUUGCCCUAGUUCUGCCUGACUAUGUCACGGUUGCAUCUUCUCUCUUCUCCGACCCCCAGCACAGUGCUUCUCGAGGGAGGUGCUUCCUCAAUAUUGUCGUCUCAUUUUAUAUUUGGAAAAUGAAAAAAAAAAAGAAUGUUUUUUUCCUUUGUCAGAAAUUUAAGAAAUAUAGGAAAGCAAAAAAAAAAAAAAAAAA